rnacentral:rRNA from 1 species
CCUACGGGUGGCUGCAGUAGGGAAUAUUGCACAAUGGGGGAAACCCUGAUGCAGCAACGCCGCGUGAGUGAAGAAGGCCCUUGGGUUGUAAAGCUCUUUAGCCUGGAAAGAGGCCUUUGCGAGUAAACAAUUCGCAGAGGUGACGGUACCAGGAGAAUAAGCACCGGCUAAUUUCGUGCCAGCAGCCGCGGUAAUACGAAAGGUGCAAGCGUUACUCGGAAUUACUGGGCGUAAAGCGCGCGUAGGCGGUCUUGUAUGUCGAUUGUGAAAGCCCC